GAAAAGGCAGCAGAGGUCCAGCGACAGGGCACCAGGUCCAUCAACAGUGAAACCACGCUGGGGACACGUAAGGCUGCUGCAACCGCAACCACCCUAGGCUCAACGACGUCACAGGGAGGCUGAUGGGAGAGGCUCGGACACCACGGAGUGCAGCCUCGCGCGCAGCCCACCUGCAGCUCCAGGCAGUGCCUCUGCUUCUCCGAGAUCUGGCUCUUCAGGGCCUGCUUCUCCUUCAACAGCUUCUCCAGCGACAGCGUGGCCCAGUCCAGCUGCAGCUCCUCGCAGCGAGCCUUGAGCUGAGGGGAUAGGGAUGGGACAGUUGCGACUGGCUGGCUGCCUGCCCAGCACACCCCACACUCUCAGGGCAGGGUUCCCUGGGCCUGCCUCAGCCAACAGCAUGUGUGCUUAGGGCACAGACCCCGUUUCUGGAAUAGCAGGCUGAGGAUGCGGAACACGCGGAGACUGGGGCCCCCCACGGACAGAUGAGGCAGCUCCAGCACCCACACCACGAUGGUGGGAUGCUCGCAUGACCCCACACCUCGAGCCUGCCAGAGUGUGGCUCCAUGACACCCAGGGCCGCUGAGAAACCAUCCAGCCGAGGGGCCCAGGCCUGCCUGCUGUGACGCGCUCGACAAGCUUUCACAGGUGGCGCAAUUCGUCUGGGAACAAACCCCACAACAGAGGCGGGCCUUCCAGAGCCUCCCACCCGCACAGAGGACACACCCGCCCAGGCAGGGCCCCUCUGGUUCCACGUCCCUGUCCUUGCGCCGCGGCACCCACCAGCUGCAAGCUCUGGCCGCGGAGCGCGCGGUUGUCCUGCUCCAGCUGCUCCGACUGCUCCCGCAGCUGCUGGUUAUGGGCGGAGAUCUCCUUCUGCGCUUGAAUCAGGUCGUUGUAGGUCAGCGCCUUCACACCCAGCUGGGGACAUGGGGCGGGGGAGAGGUCAUGCUGGUGGCCUCCAAGGUGAAGUAAGCCCCCAGGCAUGACCACCCCUGCAGCCCAGCCCCUGGGACACAGCUGGACAGAGGCAUAGACAGGAAGCCACAGGAAGCCAUACCGACGGACAUGGACCACCCCAGCCUGCGCCCCAGCUGCCACCUGCCACCUGCCCUCUGGGGUCCACUACCUCAUCCAAUUUUUGCUGAAACAGCCUCCUGAUCUCCUCCUUCUGGGCCUGGCAGUGGCUGAGGAGCUGCUGAGCCGCACCCAGGAGCUGGGCGUUCUUCUCCUGUAGGACAAACAGGGCAGGUGACUAAGGGCCAGGGCAGGUGACUGAGGGCCCACAGGGAGGGCCCACGCCCUGCCUCUCAUGCUUCCUGAAGACACGCUCAAGGACAGACAUGCCUGAGGGGACCCACACCGGGCUGAGAUGUCAAGAAAUACUCAGGCCACGGCGGGAGGGGACCAGCUCUGCAUCAGGUUCACUGCAAAGAACUCUCGCCAGCUGGAGGGACUGCACCUGCCACCCCACCUGGACUCAGCCAGGGCAGCGCCCCCAGCCACGCAGAGGCCGGCCAAUGCCAAGGAGUUUAUCCCAAGGCAAUACCAGGGGAUGGACUUUUCACAUGGAUCUGCAAGGAAGCCUUCUGCAGCGUAACAGCAAACACUCAGUGUCCGGAGGCCCACCUCCAAGGGAAGACCCCAGGAGCCACUGACACAGGACAACCUUCAGACACCAGCAGAGAACAGGGCCCCGGCCCAGGCAUGCUGUCAGCUACACAGUGAGCAAUGCAUGUGCAUAUAUGCUCAAAGCACGCUGUAAGCUUUUUUUUAAAAGCAAAGCCAAAGUCCAAAAUGCAAACCAGGGCUCAGGGACAGCCGACCUUGUGGCUCCAAUGGCUUUUGGAGUUAUCUCUGGGCCGCCAGAACUUCCACCCCAUAGCCCGGCCCUAGCUCCCCACUAAAGCAGGUCCUCGGAGACUCCCAGGGCGGGGCCCCACAGCCGGGACCUCAGGUGAAGGAAAUCAUGUAUACAGUGGUCCAUUUCCAGGACAAACUGCCUUGAAUUGGCUUAGGUCAGCAAACUACAGAAGAGACAGCAUGUACUAGGCCCCUGCUUGGAUCGCUGAUGCCUGCUUGUCAGCCUCCCCUGCCCCCGCUUCCCCCGGCUUAGUUGCCCUCACCCGAACCAAAGAAGUUUAGCCUAAGAUGAAGGUUUACCAGCCUGCAAAAGAGCUGGCUUUGUCUGUUCUUAAUCAGCCUGCCCAGCUACUUAGAUCAUAAGUCAAAUACUUGAACAGUCCCUGAGCUGACUGGGAUUGCAAUGCACAAAAUGCAGCAGGACAACCCUAAAGAAAACACCUACAACCGGGCGUGGUGGCUCAUGCCUGUAAUCCCAGCACUUUGGGAGUCCGAGGCGGGAGGAUCACGAGAUUAGGAGAUCAAGACCAUCCUGGCCAACACAGUGAGACCCCGUCUCUACUAAAAAUACAAAAAAUUAGCCGGAUGUGGUGGUGGGUGCCUGUAGUCCCAGCUACUUGGGAGGCUGAGGCAGGAGAAUGGCGUGAACCCGGGAGGCGGAGUUUGCAGUGAGCCGAGAUCACACCACUGCACUCCAGCCCCUGCCGAACCAAUAGGCGACAACUGGGAAGACUGUGACCUCACAGUACUCAGCCUUUGAGGAACCGGGGGAGGGACCUGUGCACUAGGGGGAAGGUUGCUUGUUCAAACUGUGCUGGGUGUGCCUAUCAGACACCAGGUCUUGCAAAACCAUGAUUAAAAGUCUCAUUUUCGCUGUUU